rnacentral:rRNA from 1 species
AGAAUCAACGCUGGCGGCGUGCCUCAGACAUGCAAGUCGAACGAUUAAACUUUCCUUCGGGAAAGAUAUAAAGUGGCGCACGGGUGAGUAACACGUAAGUAAUCUACCUUUGAGUGGGGAAUAACCCGGGGAAACCCGAGCUAAUACCGCAUAAUGCAGCGGCACCGCAAGGUGACAGUUGUUAAAGGAGCAAUCCGCUUAAAGAGGAGCUUGCGGCAGAUUAGCUAGUUGGUAAGGUAAUGGCUUACCAAGGCUACGAUCUGUAACCGGUCUAAGAGGACGGUCGGUCACACUGACACUGAAUAACGGGUCAGACUCCUACGGGAGGCAGCAGUCGGGAAUUUGGGCAAUGGGCGAAAGCCUGACCCAGCAACGCCGCGUGAAGGAUGAAGUAUUUCGGUAUGUAAACUUCGAAAGAAUGGAAAGAAUCAAUGACGGUACCUAUUUAUAAGGUCCGGCUAACUACGUGCCAGCAGCCGC